CCUUUUUCCCCCCCAUUUUAUUUAUAAACACAAACAAAAAAACAACACAACACAACACAACCACCACACCAGAUACACACCACCAGAAUUUAUUGAUGAGCAAGCCAAAAUACUAGCCCAAAGAAGCGGGUGCAGUUCCGGUUUGGAUGUUAAAUGACGAGACACAAUUACGGUCCAAACACUGAAAAGACACACCCUAUCCCCUCAGCCCUCAAAUUAAGUGGACACUUCUGAUGACGUUUCAUGACGUUUGACGAGUAUACACUUGCAGGGCAAGGGAUGACCCUUAACGUCCUUGUGUACUUGUAAUGUGAUAUUGUACCCCCUAGCUCGAUUGUCCAUUGUUUGUAAUCUAUGUAUGCUUGUGUUCCCUGUGUGCUUUAUGUAUUGAUUUGUUGUUAAUAAAUAAAUGAAAAAAGGGAUGUGAGGAAGGAAUUAUUUUUAAAGGAACUACGAUUGGCUGGAAAUGUCUCACUUGUUAAUCCCGCGAUGAUUGUUUUCAGCCACCGGUGGAUUGUGGGUGCUUUAUAUGCGCUACAUUCAAUUAUCAGUGCAUGUCUACUUAUAUUAAAUAUAUAAUUAUUAAUAUACACCUACUGUAUGAUAGCUAGUAAAUUAAUUAGCUAACUAAUGUUAGCCUGCCUAGCUGGGAACUUCUGAAGGAGAAUGUUUUAUUUCUACAAUUUCCAAAACAAGACUGUACAUCACUAAGAAAAGUCCACGAAAACUUAAAUACAACAUCAAUGGAGUAGUCAACAUACACGUCUGUCCAGGUGGCUGGUCUCAGACAAUCCCGCAGCUGAAGAAGCCAGAUGUGGACAUCCUGGGUUGCAGUGGUUACGCGUGGUCUGCGGUUGAGGCUGGUUGGACGUACUGCCAAAUUCUCUAAAACGAUGUUGGAGGCAGUUUAGAGGAUAAAUUAAAUAACUCAUUCUCUGGUGGACAUUCCUGCAUUCAGCGUGCCAAUUACACACUCCCUCAACUUGAGAAAUCUGUGGCAACAAAACUGCACAUUUUAGAGUGGUUCACUUGUAUAAUGACCAUGCUUUUUAAACAGCUUCUUGAUAUGCCACACCUGUCAGAUGGAAAGAUUCUUGGCAAAGAAGAAAUGCUCACUAACAGGGAUGGAAACAAAUGCGUUCACCAAAUUGAGAAAUUGAUACAUCUGAGCAUCCUCCGCUGGAGGCGGCAAUCGAGGAGAGGAAAUGCCUCCGUUCACCUAUUAAUUCACAUACAUAUGGUGACCACAUCAGUUUCUGGGAUACAGAAGAGGAGUUGAGAAAAGGCCUGUAGGUACA